GACGAACGCUGGCGGCGUGCUUAACACAUGCAAGUCGAACGGAAAGGCCCUGCUUUUGUGGGGUGCUCGAGUGGCGAACGGGUGAGUAACACGUGAGUAACCUGCCCUUGACUUUGGGAUAACUUCAGGAAAAUGGGGCUAAUACCCGAUAGGAGCUCCUGCUGCAUGGGGGGGGUUGGAAAGUUUCGGCGGUUGGGGAUGGACUCGCGGCUUAUCAGCCUGUUGGUGGGGUAGUGGCUUACCAAGGCUUUGACGGGUAGCCGGCCUGAGAGGGUGACCGGCCACAUUGGGACUGAGAGACGGCCCAGACUCCAACGGGAGGCAGCAGUGGGGAAUAUUGCACAAUGGGCGGAAGCCUGAUGCAGCAACGCCGCGUGCGGGAUGACGGCCUUCGGGUUGUAAACCGCUUUCGCCUGUGACGAAGCGUGAGUGACGGUAAUGGGUAAAGAAGCACCGGCUAACUACGUG
rnacentral:rRNA from 1 species